UCAAACAAAAACACAACAAACGUCACACUUUCUGUCUCUUUCUAUUCCUCCCUUUAUUUUUCAAACCCUUUAAAACCACACAGACACAAAAUCCCAUAUUCCCCUUUUCGUCGUUACUAUGUCAGACACCGAAACCACACCCAACCAACCCUCCUCUCCACCGCAAACGGAGGCUCCGCCGCAGCCAGACCCCUCCGCAGCUCUUUCCUUCACCAUAUGGCCCCUCACCGGGCGCACCCGCGAUGCCAUCGUUAACCGCCUCAUCGAGACCCUCACCACCUCCUCCGUACUCUCCAAACGCUACGGCACUCUCUCAUUCGACGAAGCCUCCGCCGCCGCUCGCCAGAUCGAGGGGGAAGCCUUUUCCGCCGCGGAUGCCUCCGCCGCGACCUCCGCCGAUGGCAUUAAGACCCUCCAGUUCUACUCCAAGGAGAUCAGCAAGCGCAUGCUCGACACUGUCAAGACCAGAGCUCCGCCGGGUUCCUCCGCCGUAGAGGGCGUCGCCACUGUCGUCUCCGAAUAACCUUUGUUCUGCGUCAUUGUAGAACUGGAAGGUCCGCGGAUGUAAAAUUACUUGCUCUGGCUUAGUCGGAUUCGUAUGAAAAAUUUUCACGUUUCUAACUUUACAGUCUCGUUUGAGUGUGCGCAUGCUUUUGUUGCAUCAACUUAUGCACUACAAGAGUAGAUGAUGCCAAUCAUUUGUUAUCAUAGCAGCUUCUUCAUUGGAUUAUGUGCUGAUUGAUAUCACAUUUAAGGUCAUCUCUUUGUUUUUGUAACCUGUGCCCAACCUUUUACAUAAGCAGCAAUCUUGGACUAACAUAUGCAUACCUCUCUACACUUGUGAUUUAAGAUGAAAGUUGCUCCAUUUUGCAUACUGAUUAACUAAUUGUAUCUAUGUGUAUACAAUGGUUAUCCUUGUGAGGUUUUAGCUUUCCAAGUUGUGAAAAUCAGAUUGACAGGGACAUAGUAUUAGUGCUUUAUUCACAGCAUGUUCGUUUGCUCAGUGACAUUAAUGUAUUAUUCUGUGAUAGUAUGAGACCAUGGACUGGCUGUGUCAAGUUUUGAAUUUCAUUUAUGGUGUGUUGUGGUGACAGUCUAUGUGAAGAAUAAGUUUCACAU